UUAGAUGCGAGAGUAGAGCAUAUCAAUAAGCGGAGGAAAAGAAACUAACAAGGAUUCCCUUAGUAACGGCGAGUGAAGCGGGAAGAGCUCAAAUUUGAAAUCUUCAAGGUUUUACCUUGACGAAUUGUAGUUUAAAGAAGUGUUUUCUGUUGGAGUUUUGGUAAAAGUUCUUUGGAAUAGGACAUCAUAGAGGGUGAGAAUCCCGUAUUUGACCAUUAUUUCCAGCUGUGUGAUACACUUUCAAAGAGUCGGAUUGUUUGGGAAUGCAGUCCAAAAUGGGUGGUAAAUUUCAUCUAAAGCUAAAUAUUGGCGAGAGACCGAUAGCGAACAAGUACCGUGAGGGAAAGAUGAAAAGAACUUUGAAAAGAGAGUUAAACAGUACGUGAAAUUGUCAAAAGGGAAGCGUUUGACACCAGUGUUGUUUUCUCGAAAAUCAAUUAAAAAUGAUGGGAUUUUGUGUUGUAUUGACUUUAUCAGCUUUCUGCACUUUAUUCUUAUCUUUUUUAAUGCACUUUUCGUUUAACAAGUCGACAUCAAUUUCUUUUGUUGUAAAAGAGUCAUUGGAAGGUGGCUUUUUCUUCGGAAAAAGUGUUUAUAGCCUUUGGCUUCUGCAAUCGGAGAGAUUGAGGUCUGCAGCGUAGAUCCUUCGGGGUUAGAUACAUUUGUGCUAAGCUAUAGUUCUUUAUAGACAACUUGUUGACUAUAAUCAAUCCUGUAACUUACUCGCUUAUGCUAUUUUACCUACGCUUAGGAUGUUGACACACGCGCGUGCUCG
rnacentral:rRNA from 1 species